GUGCUCACUGGGGCUCAGUCUGUUCCAUGUGGUCCUGACCUACCUUCUGUGAGCAAGAGAAACAGGACUGGUCUGGGGGUAUCCUGUCUGAGUGGACAUGGGAUACCACAGUUUUCAGUACAACA
rnacentral:snoRNA from 12 species